rnacentral:misc_RNA from 1 species
UCCGGUUUGGCACCGGCAGUCCCCCGAGAGUCCUCAGCGCCUUGCGGCCUGUUAGCAACACGGGGCGGGGGUUGCGCUCGUUGCGGGACUUAACCCAACAUCUCACGACACGAGCUGACGACAGCCAUGCAGCACCUGUGUUACGGCUCCCUUUCGGGCACUCCUGCAUCUCUGCAGGAUUCCGUACAUGUCAAGGGUAGGUAAGGUUUUUCGCGUUGCGUCGAAUUAAACCACAUCAUCCACCGCUUGUGCGGACCCCCGCCAAUUCCUUUGAGUUUUAAUCUUGCGACCGUACUCCCCAGGCGGGGUGCUUAAUGCGUUAGCUGCGCCACUGAAAAGCAAGCUUCCCAACGGCUAGCACCCAUAGUUUACGGCGUGGACUAC